CCCGGCUCCCGAGUGCGUGGUGGCGAACGGCCGGGCCUCGAAGAUGUGAUUUUUAAAGUAAAGAUUAAACAUUUGCAGGUAGGAACAUAAUGGUCCUCUGAGAAGCACCACCCAGCCACUGACUGAAAUAGAUGCAGAGACCCACAGCCAAACAUUAGACAGAGCUCUGGGAGUCUUAUUGAAGAGUUGGGGAAAGAUUGAGGAGCCUGGAGAGGAUACAUACUCCAGAAGAAGACCAACAGAGUCAAUUAACCUGGACCCUUGGGGCCUUCCAGAGACUGAACCACCAACCAAAGAGCAUAAAUGGGCUUAAACUAGGCCCCUCACACAUAUGUAGCAUAUAUGUAGCUUGGUCUUCAUACAGGUCCCCAGUAAUUGGAGUGGGGCCUGGCAUCUGUCCCUGACUCUGUUGCCUGCCUGUAGAUACUGUUCCCCUAACUGGGCUGCAUUUUCUAGCUUCAGUGGGAGAGGAUGUGCAUAGUUCUGCAGUGAUUUGAUGUGUCAGGGUGGGUUGGUACACAGUGGAGUCUUCCCCUUCUCAGAGGAGAAAAGGGAUGGUGGGCAAGGGGCUGUUUGAGGGAAAAACUGGGAGGAGGAGGCUGUGAUUAGGAUGUAAAGUGAACAAACAAACAAACAAACAAACAAAUAAAUAAAUGGAAAGAAAAUUAAAAAAGAAACCUUCUG
rnacentral:lncRNA from 1 species